UACGUAGGGUGCGAGCGUUAAUCGGAAUUACUGGGCGUAAAGCGUGCGCAGGCGGUUAUAUAAGUCAGAUGUGAAAUCCCUGGGCUCAACCUAGGAACUGCAUUUGAGACUGUAUGGCUAGAGUGUGUCAGAGGGGGGUAGAAUUCCACGUGUAGCAGUGAAAUGCGUAGAGAUGUGGAGGAACACCGAUGGCGAAGGCAGCCCCCUGGGCCAAUACUGACGCUCAUGCACGAAAGCGUGGGGAGCAAACAGG
rnacentral:rRNA from 1 species